AUUGAACGCUGGCGGCAUGCCUUACACAUGCAAGUCGAACGGUAACGGGCCUUCGGGUGCCGACGAGUGGCGAACGGGUGAGUAAAGUAUCGGAACGUACCUUUCAGUGGGGGAUAACGUAGCGAAAGUUACGCUAAUACCGCAUAUUCUGUGAGCAGGAAAGCAGGGGAUCGCAAGACCUUGCGCUGAUUGAGCGGCCGAUAUCAGAUUAGCUAGUUGGUGAGGUAAAGGCUCACCAAGGCGACGAUCUGUAGCGGGUCUGAGAGGAUGAUCCGCCACACUGGAACUGAGACACGGUCCAGACUCCUACGGGAGGCAGCAGUGGGGAAUUUUGGACAAUGGGGGCAACCCUGAUUCAGCCAUGCCGCGUGAGUGAAGAAGGCCUUCGGGUUGUAAAGCUCUUUCGGCCGGGAAGAAAUCGUAUCAGCUAAUACCUGGUGCGGAUGACGGUACCGGCAUAAGAAGCACCGGCUAACUACGUGCCAGCAGCCGCAGUAAGAC
rnacentral:rRNA from 1 species